rnacentral:lncRNA from 1 species
UCUUUGUUUUAUUUUUAAUAACCAUAACCUGAAUAUCAUUUUCAGAACUAGAGAAAGGCAUUUUCAUUUCAAUCAUAUUAUAAGUAGAAUUUCUGCUAAAAUGAAAAACCAGAAAAAUUGAGGACAUGGCAAAUAUUUUAACAUUAGUUUUAUUUGAUGUGAUAAUGGAAAAUUCCUCAAGCAAAACAUACCACAGGACCAGACAAAAUGGGUGCUGAGUGUCAGAAAGAUAGGAGAAUCUUUAUCCACAUCUCACCCCCAAAGAAAUCAACUUUGCAGUGGUAGAUGAGUUUGUGGAACAGCUGUUGAUUGUGUACCUGCUCUGUUCAAGAUCAACAGUGAAAACUUAUUGUUUUUCGAUUUUGGAAUCUUAAG